rnacentral:rRNA from 1 species
CUAAUACCGGAUGUACCUACCCGGCUGCAUGGCCGGGUUGGGAAAUGCUUUUGCGCUUCGGGAGGGGCUCGCGGCCUAUCAGCUUGUAGGUGGGGUAAUGGCCUACCAAGGCUUCGACGGGUAGCUGGUCUGAGAGGACGAUCAGCCACACUGGGACUGAGACACGGCCCAGACUCCUACGGGAGGCAGCAGUGGGGAAUCUUGCGCAAUGGGCGAAAGCCUGACGCAGCAACGCCGCGUGAGGGAUGAAGGCCUUCGGGUUGUAAACCUCUUUCGUACAGGGACGAUUGUGACGGUACCUGUAGAAGAAGCUCCGGCCAACUACGUGCCAGCAGCCGCGGUAAUACGUAGGGAGCGAGCGUUGUCCGGAUUUAUUGGGCGUAAAGAGCUCGUAGGCGGCUUGGUAAGUCGGAUGUGAAACCUCCACGCUUAACGUGGAGACGCCAUCCGAUACUGCUAUGGCUUGAGUCCGGUAGGGGCCCACGGAAUUCCUGGUGUAGCGGUGAAAUGCGCGGAUAUCAGGAGGAACACCGGUGGCGAAGGCGGUGGGCUGGGCCGGUACUGACGCUGAGGAGCGAAAGCGUGGGGAGCGAACA